UUGCACUCCUGCACCGUUUCUGUUCAAUACAACUUGCUUGCGAUUCAUCUGUCUUCUUGUGUCUGGAUGGGGAUUUAUUUAACACUACACUAAACGACUUUGCCCAUGGUUAAGUCAGGGUGCAGCCUCUCUGCUGUUUAAAUCAGGUGUUGGCCACAGACGGCCUUGAGUGUGGCUGACCAUGUCUCCUCCUUGGCUCACUGAAGCCCUGCACUCCUUUUCUAUCAUCAGCAAACAUGAUGAUUUAACACAAGACAUUUAUGACCUCAAGAGCAAAUGCAUGAAACAACGGUCUGACAUGUCUGAAGAUAGAUCAGUUCUUCACCCAACAUCUGGAGAAGAAAAAUAACCCAGCAGCCACUCUUGAGUUGAAGAAUAUCCUUCAAGCAGUCAAACAGAUUGCUGUUUCUAGGUCCUCAGGGAUUUGAGAUGAUCUCCAAGCUCCUCCAGAGAAGGUCAGACAAUAUGGAUUCCCUGGUGUCUGUCCCAUUGGAUAGCAGACCUCACUUCAUGUUAGGGGAGCUCGACUACCAACUUCUUAGGGUUUCACAGCAUAAACAAAUUUCUCAUCAUGUUUUAUUAAACAAUAUUAGUCAUAUAAUUACUAUUUUUCUAUGAUUUAGAAGAAAAUAAACGUCUUCAAAUAACACAUAUGGA